GGGCUUUGACUCAUUGCUCAAUGAUGUCCUUCAAGUCGGCUCACAGCUCUCUAGGGUUUUAUGUAGUUGAACUAAUUAACCUUCUAUGUAGUUGCUCCUUUUGGGAGAUGAUUCAAGUGAGAUGAAAACAAGUACUAAGCCUUUGUGGUUGUAUUUUUUGAGAGAAUCUUUCUUGUUCUCUCCUUCGUCGAUCCUUUCUUUGCUACCUUCACUAUUUAUCUGUCUCCUCCACAUUUCAGUCCCUUCACUACUUCGUUUUGGGUCCUCUUCCUCUAUGCCUUGUGUGGGUUACUUGAAGUGAUCUUCGGGUCUAAUUUGUGUGGUGCUACCAUUUGGAUUGUGGCCAUAAGUUUGAGCCUUGAUUUAUCCACCAUUGUUGCAUCUUGUUUUGGAAAAAAUAGAGUUUUUCACUUUUAUUUUUUAAUCUAUACAGUUGAUUUCUAAUUUCUUGUAUUAAUCUUGUUAUUUAUCUUUGUUUAAUUUGGUGCUUUGCAAGGUUAAUUCUAACAAACUAUUAUCCAAGCCUUUGUUGCCUUUUUUAUGGAAAUAAAUUUAAUAAAAAAUAGCUAGAGAUAGCUAGUAGUGAUCGACAAUACGUGGCUGGCGGCAAAUGAUAGUGAUGAGUGAAAAGGACCGGGUGUUUCAUUUGCUAUUGUUUUGCUUUUGCUGAUUUUGCAAAAAUUAAAACCCUAAAUUAAAUCAUAUCUCUAUGUUUUCCAUGAAUUGAAAUAUUGGUUUGCUCGAUAAAUUGGUUGAUCUUCUUUCAGUUUUUUUGCAAUAGCAGAUUAUCGUAUUGGAGUGGCCAUUAGGUUUAGAGGUUACCAUAUGGGGUAAUCAUUUCUUG
rnacentral:lncRNA from 1 species